CCUACGGGUGGCAGCAGUGAGGAAUAUUCGUCAAUGGACGCAAGUCUGAACCAGCCAUGCCGCGUGCAGGAAGACGGCCCUCUGAGUUGUAAACUGCUUUUUUACGAGGGAAAAUUCAGAUUCGCGAAUCUUUCUGAACUUACCGUACGAAUAAGGACAGGGUAACCCCGCGCCAGCAGCCGCGGUAAUACGGCGGAUUCAUGCGUUAUCCGGAUUUAUUGGGUUUAAAGGGAGCGUAGGCGGUCGGAUAAGUUAGAGGUGAAAUCCCGAGGCUCAACUGCGGACUUGCUUCUGAUACUGUGAGGCUAGAGAGUAGUUGCGGUAGGCGGAAUGUAAGGUGUAGCGGUGAAAUGCGUAGAGAUCAGACAGAACACCGAUUGCGAAGGCAGCUUACCAAGCUACUUCUGACGUUGAGGCACGAAAGCGUGGGGAGCAAACAGGAUUAGAUACCCUUGUAGUC
rnacentral:rRNA from 1 species